rnacentral:rRNA from 1 species
UACGGAGGGUGCAAGCAUUAAUCGGAUUUAUUGGGCGUAAAGGGCGCGUAGGCGGUAUAGAAAGUCAGAUGUGAAAUUCCGGGGCUCAACCUCGGAACAGCAUAUGAAACUUCUAUCCUAGAGGAUAGUCGGAGGAAACGGAAUUCCACAAGUAGCGGUGAAAUGCGUAGAUAUGUGGAAGAACACCAGUGGCGAAGGCGGUUUCCUAGAUUAGACCUGACGCUAAAGCGCGAAAGCAAGGGGAUCAAACAGG